rnacentral:pre_miRNA from 15 species
ACCAAAUAACCAGGAAUCUGUCAUUCUCCUAGUGUUCACUGUUGGCCUGUAUGUUUUUGUAACGCAUAAGGCACGCGGUGAAUGCCAAGAGCAGACUUUUGUCAACGAAUCAAAGUGC